GAUGAACGCUGGCGGCGUGCCUAAUACAUGCAAGUCGAGCGAACGGACGAGAAGCUUGCUUCUCUGAUGUUAGCGGCGGACGGGUGAGUAACACGUGGAUAACCUACCUAUAAGACUGGGAUAACUUCGGGAAACCGGAGCUAAUACCGGAUAAUAUUUUGAACCGCAUGGUUCAAAAGUGAAAGACGGUCUUGCUGUCACUUAUAGAUGGAUCCGCGCUGCAUUAGCUAGUUGGUAAGGUAACGGCUUACCAAGGCAACGAUGCAUAGCCGACCUGAGAGGGUGAUCGGCCACACUGGAACUGAGACACGGUCCAGACUCCUACGGGCGGCAGCAGUAGGGAAUCUUCCGCAAUGGGCGAAAGCCUGACGGAGCAACGCCGCGUGAGUGAUGAAGGUCUUCGGAUCGUAAAACUCUGUUAUUAGGGAAGAACAUAUGUGUAAGUAACUGUGCACAUCUUGACGGUACCUAAUCAGAAAGCCACGGCUAACUACGUG
rnacentral:rRNA from 1 species